rnacentral:rRNA from 2 species
GGACAGUAUUGGAGCCUCUAGAGUUUGAUCCUGGCUCAGGAAUUCGUAACAAGGUAACCAGUGUUGGAUCCUCUAGAGUUUGAUCCUGGCUCAGAAAACCUUAACAAGGUAACCAGGAUUGGAUCCCCUUCAGUUUGAUCCACCGGAUAAUACUUAUCAUCUCCUGAUGGUAAGUUGAAAGGCGGCUUUUGCUGUCACUUACAGAUGGGCCUGCGGCGCAUUAGCUAGUUGGUGGGGUAAUGGCUCACCAAGGCGACGAUGCGUAGCCGACCUGAGAGGGUGAUCGGCCACACUGGGACUGAGACACGGCCCAGACUCCUACGGGAGGCAGCAGUAGGGAAUCUUCCGCAAUGGACGAAAGUCUGACGGAGCAACGCCGCGUGAGUGAUGAAGGUUUUCGGAUCGUAAAACUCUGUUGUCGGGGAAGAACAAGUAUGAUAGUAACUGAUCGUACCUUGACGGUACCCGACCAGAAAGCCACGGCUAACUACGUGCCAGCAGCCGCGGUAAUACGUAGGUGGCAAGCGUUGUCCGGAAUUAUUGGGCGUAAAGCGCUCGCAGGCGGUUCUUUAAGUCUGAUGUGAAAUCUUGCGGCUCAACCGUAAACGUGCAUUGGAAACUGGAGGACUUGAGUGCAGAAGAGGAGAGUGGAAUUCCACGUGUAGCGGUGAAAUGCGUAGAGAUGUGGAGGAACACCAGUGGCGAAGGCGACUCUCUGGUCUGUAACUGACGCUGAGGAGCGAAAGCGUGGGGAGCGAACAGGAUUAGAUACCCUGGUAGUCCACGCCGUAAACGAUGAGUGCUAGGUGUUAGGGGGUUUCCGCCCCUUAGUGCUGAAGUUAACGCAUUAAGCACUCCGCCUGGGGAGUACGGCCGCAAGGCUGAAACUCAAAAGAAUUGACGGGGACCCGCACAAGCGGUGGAGCAUGUGGUUUAAUUCGAAGCAACGCGAAGAACCUUACCAGGUCUUGACAUCCUUUGACCGCUCUGGAGACAGAGUUUUCCCUUCGGGGACAAAGUGACAGGUGGUGCAUGGUUGUCGUCAGCUCGUGUCGUGAGAUGUUGGGUUAAGUCCCGCAACGAGCGCAACCCUUGAUCUUAGUUGCCAGCAUUUAGUUGGGCACUCUAAGGUGACUGCCGGUGACAAACCGGAGGAAGGUGGGGAUGACGUCAAAUCAUCAUGCCCCUUAUGACCUGGGCUACACACGUGCUACAAUGGACGGAACAAAGGGAAGCGAGCCCGCGAGGUCAAGCAAAUCCCAUAAAACCGUUCUCAGUUCGGAUUGUAGGCUGCAACUCGCCUACAUGAAGCCGGAAUCAACCGUAAUCGGGUCUCAGCAUGUUUCACCGAAUACGUUCAAGGGUUAACAAGGCACCCCCUAUCGCACCCUUUAGAGUUUGUUCCUGGCUCAGUAAGUCGUAACAAGGUAACCAGUAUGGACCUCUAGAGUA